rnacentral:rRNA from 1 species
GCAGUGGGGAAUAUUGGACAAUGGGCGAAAGCCUGAUCCAGCCAUGCCGCGUGUGUGAAGAAGGUCUUCGGAUUGUAAAGCACUUUAAGUUGGGAGGAAGGGCAGUAAGUUAAUACCUUGCUGUUUUGACGUUACCAACAGAAUAAGCACCGGCUAACUUCGUGCCAGCAGCCGCGGUAAUACGAAGGGUGCAAGCGUUAAUCGGAAUUACUGGGCGUAAAGCGCGCGUAGGUGGUUCAGCAAGUUGGAUGUGAAAUCCCCGGGCUCAACCUGGGAACUGCAUCCAAAACUACUGAGCUAGAGUACGGUAGAGGGUGGUGGAAUUUCCUGUGUAGCGGUGAAAUGCGUAGAUAUAGGAAGGAACACCAGUGGCGAAGGCGACCACCUGGACUGAUACUGACACUGAGGUGCGAAAGCGUGGGGAGCAAACAGGAUUAGAUANCCUGGUAGUCCACGCCGUAAACGAUGUCGACUAGCCGUUGGGAUCCUUGAGAUCUUAGUGGCGCAGCUAACGCGAUAAGUCGACCGCCUGGGGAG